UACGAAGGGGGCUAGCGUUGUUCGGAAUUACUGGGCGUAAAGCGCACGUAGGCGGAUCUUUAAGUCAGAGGUGAAAUCCCAAGGCUCAACCUUGGAACUGCCUUUGAUACUGGGGAUCUUGAGUCCGGGAGAGGUGAGUGGAACUGCGAGUGUAGAGGUGAAAUUCGUAGAUAUUCGCAAGAACACCAGUGGCGAAGGCGGCUCACUGGCCCGGUACUGACGCUGAGGCACGAAAGCGUGGGGAGCAAACAGG
rnacentral:rRNA from 1 species